CAAGGAGGACUCCGCCUGGACCUCUACAGAGGCCGGACUCUGACCGCUGCCGAGCUUCAACCGACAGAUCCGCGCCCCCUGGCAGGUCACAAUAACAACCAUGAUCCUGUUCCACUUCCUGUAGCGGAUUCCGCACGGCUCCAUCACUCCCUGCGGCGGACCCAUUACUCUCUGACAGACUGUGUCAACGGCCACGAUUCUGCUCCGCUCCCUGCGGCAAAUGCUGCGCGACUCCACUACUCCCUGACAACUAGCGGCAACGGACGCCGCUCCACCACCUGCAACAGGCUCUACGUGGCAGGCCAUAGCAAUAGCCACGGGUCUACUCCACUACCCUUCGCAAUAAAUUCCCCUGAUCAUGGGCGGCCCACUACCAGACGGUUACAAAUGUCGCCAUCAAUCUGUUGCCUCCUCCGUCU
rnacentral:lncRNA from 1 species